GAGCUACUACAGCAGGAGGGUAAUGUGGAAAGAUUACAGUAAAGGUUGUAGUAGUUGUGAAAUGCUAAUCGUAUUUUAAGGUAGCUGGUUUACUGCUAAACCUAUGUGGUAGGUAAAGUGACUUUUUGCGACCUUUAUGAAGUGGGGUGGUAAUUAGGUUAAAUUAGGGGCCCUAAGGGUGAAGCUUUUGGGUUAAGUUGGAUAAGAGAGAUGUAUAAUAGUUAAGAGUAGGGAUGAAAGUGCCCAGCUUUAAGUGGAGGUUGUUAUUAACCAUUUCGGUGGUAAGUAAAAUUUAUAUGUGGGAAUAUUCGAGAUGUUGUGGUAAAUAUCCUAAAAUUUUCAGAGGGUAAAUAUAAUGCUUACAUGAGUAUUAAAAUUGGAUAUUGGUUUCGUGAAUGGUUAAAGGAAGGAGCAAUUGAUGAUUAGGUGUUAAUUAAAUGUAGUUAAGGAAUUCGGCAAAUAUUAAUUCCGCCUGUUUAACAAAAACAUGUCUCCUCGUAGAAUAAAGAUUGGGAG
rnacentral:rRNA from 1 species